rfam:Triticum aestivum genome assembly, contig: Triticum_aestivum_CS42_TGACv1_scaffold_513126_6BS
UGUGUACUCCCUCCGUUCCAAAAUACUUGACUUCCAUUUGUCCAAAAAUGGAUGUACCUAUAUACUAAAACAUGUCUAGAUACAUAUAUAUUUUUACAAAUAGAAGGCAUGUAUUGUGCAACGGAGGGAGUAGAAU